rnacentral:lncRNA from 1 species
AGUGAGAAUUUUAACAGCAGUUACCAGGUGUUCAGGACAAAGAAAGAAUAUAGACAGAAUGAGAAGGUGGCACAUUUGACACCAACCAGGUCCCAAGAGAAACUAAAUGCUUAUCAAACCUAAUGUGCACACAAAUCGCCUGGGAAACAGAUUGUGAUUCAAUAGGGCUGAGGGCCCAAGACUGCAUUUCCAGCCAGCUCCAAAGUAAUGCUGAUAACCACAGUGAGCACCAAAGCCAAAUGCCAAAAACCAAAAAGGAUGGCAAGAAUCAACCACAGGGGACAUCAGAGGACCACAGGUGGAGGAGAAGAGGCGAAAGUGGAAGCAACACAGCUGGAAAUGCUGGGACGUGCAGCAUUCUAUACUGCAAGUAGGCCCCAUGAAACAACCCUAAGGCAAGAAAGCAUCCACUAUGCUCAGAGAACAGCAAGGUGGCCCAGUUGGGUAGAGCAGAGUGACCUGUAGGAAGAAUAAUGGAUGUCAGGAGGAUUACUCUGGAUGCUAUGCUGAGAAGAAACUGAAGACAAUGGUGGAAGUGGGAAAGCUUAUGACUCAGAAUAACUAUUUCUAAUAACAAAUUUUAAGUUCUCUUCAUGAGCAGCUGACACAAAUCUUCAACUCAUUGAUGAUGGCAUCUGACUGUUCCAGGUAUUAAGAAGAGAGAAAGAAUCUGAGAAAUUAUG